GCAUUUAAUCUAAGAAAAGACUCCUGAUUUCGACUCAGGGAAUAUUGAUUAACCUCAAUAAUACC
rnacentral:tRNA from 1 species